AUUACAGAGCUGGAUUUGUUCCUUCUGCUGGUAGUGUUGCUGCGUUGUCGAUGUGACUUCGCAAGAUUCUCAAGAUUUCAUUAGAAUUGCAAAAGGAUCCUGCACAUGCUUUGUGGAGACAUGAAAUAGAGAGUAUGGUGAAGCAGACAUUUGAGGAGACUCGUGAUGCCAUACCGCCAGAUGGACCAUUUGUGACGCUGAAUCAUUCUAUUAUAAUGUAAAUGCUCGGGAAUAUGGCGAAGGCUGAGGUAGAGGGCGAGGAUGUGGUCAUCCUCUUCAAUGUAAUUGUACAUGAAUUAUUUAAUGAGCCAUCACCGUCUACUCCUGUCAUUCUAGCUGAGGCCAUUCUAGACAUGGCCGGACCCUAUAGCAUGAGGCCAAUGGAACUACCAUCUCGUCCUACAGACGGGAGACCUAGGUGAGAUAUGGAGGCAGUUCGUCUGAGUUAUGGAUCAGCCAUUGACGAUGGUUAUAUACCAGAUAUGCCGGGCCCCUCUGGUACACAAAAUGUCGGGCAAACAUUCACGCAACAUACUGCUUUUGCCGAUAAAACUAAUUCUCUAUUUGGUAAUACCAACGAGAUAUUUGAUGUGUGGACGUCUGGUCGUAGCUUGGAGUCAUUGCUGGGUUAUGAUAGGCCGACAUCCAGUGGCUUUCACAUUGAGACAUAUCUUAACUUAAUUUUGUAGUUUAAACUUCUUUGUUUUAUAUAUAUUCUUUAUAAUAUAUACUUAACUUUUUGUUAAUUUUGUUAUUAGCUUGAUAGUAUGUCUUUUCCUGCCUCCAUUUGCCAAGCCGGAGAAAUACGCCAGGGUGAUAUCCUCCCCACAUAGGUCAGACCUCACAAUGACACGCAGCUUCAAAGUUUUUUUCCUAUUUCCUUUGCGGACUUGCAUGGUUUGACAAGUCAGAGUGCUAUGCUGCCGGCAUCGAUUGGAGGUCCCUUAAACACACAGAUUGACGGUUCUUCUUCAGUAGUCCCAUCUUUGGACGAAGACGAUUUCAUUACAAUAGAUGCACACAUGGCUCACCCACCUGGGCCCAAAGUGCCUGUUAUGAGGGCCAAAAAGAAACGGAAGGAAAUUCUUCCAACUAAGACGAGGAAGGAUGGCGAUGGAUUUUGGCCUUUGGAUGCUCUACGCAAGCCAAAGGGCUGCGGAAUAUAGUAUACUUCCGUAGGUACUCUAUUUUUCUGGAUAAGAAGUCAUUGCAACUGGGGCCUGAUGAUCAUUUACAUGUGGAGGGAUUUGCGUUGAAUGUCUUUGCAAAGGCAGACAAAGAAGAUCGAGCUGGGCGAGCAAGACUUGUAUGGAUUUUGUCAAUUGAGUGACAUACAACUUCUACUUUGCAUUCUUAUCGUUCUUCUUAUAUGGAAAGCUUUGAAAGGAGGAAGGAAACCUGUACCAGAUGAGAGCCAUUCAACCAUUGAUGAGAAACUUGGAGUGUAAAGUAAGCCCGAGGAUUGUAUGAUACUUCAGUUUGAUUGGCUUAAUGAAGCAAUAUAUCUUCGGGAAUAUAAUUUCCCUCUGUUGAAGUAAGAAAAAAGUCUCACAAUGGUGAUUAAUAAACAAUAUGUACAAUAUAUAUUGUAAAGUCCAUAUAAAUUAAACCUAAUGAAGAUUUUAUGUCUGUUUAGUACUUUA